rnacentral:rRNA from 1 species
GGCGGCCCCUUAAGUUGGAUGUGAAAUCCUAUGGCUCAACCAUAGAACUGCAUCCAAAACUGAGGGGCUAGAGUCUGGGAGGGGAAGAUGGAAUUAGUGGUGUAGGGGUAAAAUCCGUAGAGAUCACUAGGAAUACCAAAAGCGAAGGCGAUCCUCUGGAACAGUACUGACGCUGAGGCGCGAAAGCGUGGGGAGCAAACAGGAUUAGAUACCCUGGUAGUCCACGCCCUAAACUAUGAAUGUUAGUCGUCGGGAGGCUCGUCCUCUCGGUGAUGCAGCUAACGCAUUAAACAUUCCGCCUGGGGAGUACGGUCGCAAGAUUAAAACUCAAAGGAAUAGACGGGGACCCGCACAAGUGGUGGAGCAUGUGGUUUAAUUCGAAGAUACGCGAAGAACCUUACCUGGCCUUGACAUUGAUAGAAUCUGCUAGAGAUAGCGGAGUGCCCUUCGGGGAGCUUGAAAACAGGUGCUGCACGGCUGUCGUCAGCUCGUGUCGUGAGAUGUUGGGUUAAGUCCCGCAACGAGCGCAACCCUCGUCACUAGUUACUAACGGUUCGGCCGAGGACUCUAGUGAGACUGCCUUCGUAAGGAGGAGGAAGGUGAGGACGACGUCAAGUCAUCAUGGCCCUUACGGCCAGGGCGACACACGUGCUACAAUGGGAUGUACAAUGAGACGCAAUACCGCGAGGUGGAGCAAAUCUAUAAAGCAUCUCUCAGUUCGGAUUGUAGUCUGCAACUCGACUACAU